ensembl:lncRNA
UUCAAGACCUAUGACCCUUGUUAUUGUUUUUGUGAGGAUGGGGGGAACUUUGCUUUUUAUUUUUUGUACUCAGCUGGGAGAGGGGUUGGGGUGAAGUGAGGUACAAGGAUAUGGAAGCAGGAACAGUGGAAAGUACCCACGAUGAGUUCACCUGAGCCCAAAGAUUUUCAGAAUAUUUAAUAUAUUCAUUGGAAGGACUGAUGCUGAAGUUGAAACUCCAAUACUUUGGCCACCUGAUGUGAAGAACUGACUCAUUGGAAAAGACGCUGAUGCUAGGAAAGAUUGAAGGCAGCAGAAGGGGGCCUCAUUGCCUCUCUGGAAAGUCUUGUUGGAGGGAGAGAAGCUGACCUCAUAUUCAUUCUUUGUUAUGUGACCCACUUCUGCCCAUGGGAAAUAUGCAUCCCUACACCCCCUGACGGGGAGCUGACUGUGGCACAGACCAUGAACUGCUUAUUGCCAAAUUCAGACUUAAAUUGAAGAAAGUGGGGAAAACCAUUAACCCACCCAAGUAUGACUGAAUCAGAU